CUGUGGGAUUAACGGGUUAAAGGCUGUGCGUUGCUAUAUAAGUCAGUCAGAACUUUGACUUUUAUAUAUUAUACAGAU